rnacentral:tRNA from 1 species
UCCUCACGAGCUAAUUAUGCCUCUCAAGGAAUGCGAUGGCAUUCCAGCGUGGACCAGCUUGAUGAUUGGCG